GGGGUUUUCACCUGUCUCGUAAUACUGAAUGCAGCAUCCCCCCUUCUUUGCUCCUGGAAGGUGCACUGCUCUGAUUAGGAUGAAUGAUGCUUAGAUGCGGUUUGCUGGAGGUUGAUAUGAUGUGAUUGCGUAACCAGAGAGAAGUCGUUACCAUUCGACCUCUCCUGACCUCGUUUUGAUUGACCCUUUGGGUUGGUCACUGCUUCCGAGCAAAAGGCAGGAGUAUAAGGUCAGAGUUCAAAGUAUCAUCAGCUGUGCUGUCAUGGAAACAGCAGCAUUUGCCCUUCUGAUGGUCAGUUUGAAUUCAAGGACAAUGGUUUGUUUAAAACUGAGUUUUGUUUUCAAAAGUGCAUGGUUUAUGUAACAAGAAAUAAUCUUAAGACAUUAACUCUGUAGACUGAAAAUGUUGAAAAGCAGAUGUACGUCAUUGUUCCUAGUGGUGCUUUCUGGGUUGUUUUGAGGAUAAUGUGGCUGUAAAUCAUUCUGAACUCCUUUUAACUGCCUUUUUCUCUGUUUUACUUGGUUGUUGGAUUUCCAUUAUUUGUGCAGAAAGGCAUAGAUUCCCCUUGUCAGUGUUGUGACCAAAGCUCUGAGUCCGCCAUUGUGGUCAAUCGAAACACACCCGUGGUUUGUUUUUCCACUUCCUGUUUGUGACCAGUGUGCAGGGUUUCCUUGCAAUCAGUGCUGCAGCAGGGGGGGGAAAUCAAUAUUUUGAAUGUAAUGUGUGGCCAAUGGAAUAAGAGAAUGAUUUAUGUAGGGAUGGGUACUCCCUGAAUCAGAUGGGACUUGUGUGGCCGGAUGAAUGAAGGAAAGGAGGGGUGCUGGCACAGCGACCCAGAAAAAGAACUAUAAAAGGUUAAAAAAAAAAGAAGUGUGUUUUGCUGCUCUUGAUCGUGGCGCCGCUCCUCUUUUUUUGCUGUCCCUCUUCUCUCUUUUCACCUCUCCAACAUGCAGUGCUCUCUGACUGUCCCGCCUAAUCCUAGCACCGUAGUAUUAUGAGACUAAAAACCAACAGGAUACGCACACACACAUGCCAUACACACCAGGAGUUUAGCAGGUUGUAGACCACCAGCCAGAAACAGCAUAUGUCCCUCUCCCCUCCAGAUUAACGAGAGCAUGCAUGUUAGUAUUACGAUACAGUGAGAAAGGAGGGGAUAGGGGCAAGGAGUAGAGAGGGGUGGGAGAUGAAAGGUAGUGGGAGAGUGUAGGAGCCUGGCAGACAGACCAAGACUCAGAGGGAAACACGAGGUGAGAAGCGCGAGAACAAGUGUGCGAGGGAAGGAGGGAGAGAGCAAGUCUUGGAAAGAGAUGGAAAGAUGGAAGUGUGGAGGCGGGAAAGAGUGAGAGAUGCGAGGACAUAACAACCAUAGAGAAAUGUGUGUGUAUGUGUUUGCUUUAUUGCGGUGGCCCCACCUACCCCUCCAUCCUGUUAAGGAGGCACAGUCCGAAGGAGGAGGGGUAGGAUGGUAGGAUCCCCUCCCUCAGUCACCAACACACACAUACUCUCUCUCUGGCUCAUACACACACUCUGCUCCGUGAGGGAGCAGUCGCUGAAGAGCUCUGGAUAGACAUGCGAGGUUCUGCAGGUGUCCCACCCUUCUCUCCUGACAUGGAUGCUAUAGGAGUGGUGUACCACGAUGAAUCAGGGUGCAGUGGAUGACAGAGAACGUGCGACAAAGACCCCAAGUCGGACGCCAACCUAAGACAUGGAAACCCGCAGAGCAGGUGGUUGAAAACAGAAGGGUGAUGCAUUGAUCAAGGUAAGAGAUGGUUUGACUUAAUAUUCAGAUUUUUGGUGAAACCGUAUUAUGGGUAAGGAGAGAAGUUGAUAAGGUGGUGUGAUGUCAUUCAGUGCCGAUACAAUCUGUGAAAUCGAGGUGAUGAACAGAGACCUUGAAAUGACCAGAAGUCUAUAACAGUAAGCUCUUUGGGGAAAAGGCCAGUCCUCCAAUGGGCCUAAAUCGAAUCCCUGCGCAUUUACAUGAGACAUAAAUUCACAUUUAAAUGGCAGAAAAUUGCUUGGGUGGGCGAUACACUGGGGCAUAUGAAAUUAUAAUUGUCGUCAGUUGUGUGUGUGUGUGUGUGUGUCUGUGGAGCAGGGGGUGAUACAAGAUUGAAGAGAUGUGUGGAGGAAUUAUGCAUCCAAUAACGGAGAUGGGAUGUAAAUAUGGUGAGGACAGUCUGAUGUGCCAUCGGUCCAUUUCAUGUGAGACUGCAGUGCAGGGGCUAAAUGGCAGCCAGGCUCAUAUUCAAGUGAACGACAGGCAAAUUAAAACUGGUCUCCACAGUACUGUACAGGAGCUUUUUUUUUAUUUAUUUAUUUUUUUAUCUGAAAUUAAGUAACUAGUCUAGUAAACGUGCCUCACAGUAGAUUGUUUUGUUAUCUGUGUUUUAUUUUUUAACUCCUUUUAUUUAUUUAUUUCUGUCUGGUCUAAAACAGUUAUAAAAAUAAUGUCAUGGAAUAGGGAAAAGCAGCAAAUCUUCCUAAAGGAGAGAACUGUUGGUGAUUUUUACUAAAAAGAUUCAUCAGAAUAAUUGCUGAAUUUUCAGCUAAUGGACUUGCGAAGGGAUUGACCGAUUGUUGCGGCUCUAAAAUUGGUAAUCCUGUUUUAUAAAAGCACAUAAUUAUUUCACAGCUAGCACUGGAAAAACAUAUCUCAGGACUGAUCAAUUGUGCAUUUACAUUUUUGUGCCAUGAUUCAUGUUCUGCCUGUUUUGUGGUAUUUAACAUUGCUAUGUGGCUUGAGUAAAAUGGCUGUGUAAGUAGAUAAACCCACCCUCAAAUUCAGUGCAGCUCGUGCUAUUGCAGUUUGAUCCCUUUUACUCUGCCAGACAUCGUUGUACGCACGCCUUAUCCUACAAUCCCUCUUACCCUCCCUCACUCAGUGCUGUUUGUUUUUUUGUUCUUUUUUCUUUCACCUCUACAGAAGAGCUCCUAAUGGAAAGGCUGGAACAAAUACUCAUGUCACUUCAGUUCAUGGAGAUCCCAAUUGUUUUUAGCCAAUGUGUAACUAUAAGAGGUCUAUGGGUUGUCUGUGUCACUCAGCAUGGCUUCGUGUACACGAAUGCACAUCGUUUCACACCGCUCACCGUACUGCACAUUUACUGACUCAUGCUGUACAUGUAUAGCACUAUUUCUGUCAUUUUCCAUCUGAAUGUCACUACAUGUCAUUCAGUCCAAACUGGACCAUCAACAAUCAGUACAAUAUGGCUCACCAGGAGGCCCCUUACAGACCUGUUUCAUAAUUUGUGCUGCUGUGUCUAUUGUAUGUGCCUCCUUUGAUAAAUUUACCUCCAACUGAUGCAAUGCGUCAGUCUUUUUGUUGGAGGAGGACAAUUGCUUGUACAGUUAAGGUCCAAGACCUUAAUGAAGUACUAAAGCGCACACACACUAGCUGCAGGGCACAAAGGUUGGUUUCUGCUCUUAACAUCAGAUGACAGCUAAUGGAGCAGACAACACUGUGAAAGGACGAGGACCAAAGUUCAUCUCGUGAUAUUAUUUUAUUGUUCAGUGCUGUAUGUGAAAGUCAGCAAAGCAUAAAAUUAUUUUUGAAAAACUGUUAAACAGUCAGAGAUUAACUGAAGCAAAGAGUCAUUUGCAGUUGACACAAUUGAACUGCAUUUUAUUUCCUUACUUUUUAAAAUGUCCA